GUCUGACGGAGCAACGCCGCGUGAACGAAGAAGGUCUUCGGAUGUAAAGUUCUGUGAUUCGGGACGAAAGGGUUUGUGGUGAAUAAUCAUAGACAUUGACGGUACCGAAAAAGCAAGCCACGGCUAACUACGUGCCAGCAGCCGCGGUAAUACGUAGGUGGCAAGCGUUGUCCGGAAUUAUUGGGCGUAAAGCGCGCGCAGGCGGUUUCUUAAGUCCAUCUUAAAAGCGUGGGGCUCAACCCCAUGAGGGGAUGGAAACUGGGAAGCUGGAGUAUCGGAGAGGAAAGUGGAAUUCCUAGUGUAGCGGUGAAAUGCGUAGAGAUUAGGAAGAACACCGGUGGCGAAGGCGACUUUCUAGACGAAAACUGACGCUGAGGCGCGAAAGCGUGGGGAGCAAACAGGAUUAGAUACCCUGGUAGUCCACGCCGUAAACGAUGGAUACUAGGUGUAGGAGGUAUCGACCCCUCCUGUGCCGGAGUUAACGCAAUAAGUAUCCCGCCUGGGAAGUACGAUCGCAAGAUUAAACUCAAAGGAAUUGACGGGGGCCCGCACAAGCGGUGGAGUAUGUGGUUUAAUUCGACGCAACGCGAGAACCU
rnacentral:rRNA from 1 species